AUGCGCGAGUGGCGCCCUUCGCCUUGGCGGAAGUGCCUGCUGGCGGGCAGAGAAGCAAAACUGAAGAGUCUCUUGUGGAUCUACCUCUCUCUGGAGGCACAGGUGCUAAACGGGGUAUUAAAGGACCAUGAAGAUUUUCUCCAUCUCUUGUUGAUUAACAGUCUUCACAUCAGCCUCAGGAUGAUCCAGCAUGAAAUUCCACUCACCAGACUCCCAAUCCAGGGCACUCACCACUGUAGCAAUUGCCAGAGGAAAAGUCUAGCCCUGCAGUCCCCGGAUGCUGAGCCUCAGAAGCCAACGGAAGGGCGUGAGGGGAGGAUACACAGGUGGAGGCUGCUCCAGGAGGAAACCAGUGCUCCGAGCCUGCCGUGGGCCAGGCAGGGCUUUAGCUACACCAGGUUCUGUCCGUACUGCCAUUUUGUAAGUUAA
rnacentral:lncRNA from 1 species